rnacentral:rRNA from 1 species
UCGUGUCGUGAGAUGUUGGGUUAAGUCCCGCAACGAGCGCAACCCUUGCCUUUAGUUGCCAGCAGUUCGGCUGGGCACUCUAAAGGGGACCUGCCGGUGUUAAACCGGAGGAAGGUGGGGAUGACGUCAAGUCCUCAUGGCCUUUAUGACCAGGGCUACACACGUACUACAAUGGCCGAUACAAAGGGCAGCGACACUGCGAGGUGAAGCCAAUCCCGUAAAAUCGGUCUCAGUCCGGAUUGGAGUCUGCAACUCGACUCCAUGAAGUUGGAAUCGCUAGUAAUCGUGGAUCAGCAUGCCACGGUGAAUACGUUCCCGGGCCUU